UACGAAGGGGCUAGCGUUGCUCGGAAUCACUGGGCGUAAAGGGCGCGUAGGCGGCGUUUUAAGUCGGGGGUGAAAGCCUGUGGCUCAACCAACAGAAUGGCCUCGAUACUGGGACGCUUGAGUAUGGUAGAGGUUGGUGGAACUGCGAGUGUAGAGGUGAAAAUUCGUAGAUAUUCGCAAGAACACCGGUGGCGAAGGCGGCCAAACUGGAC
rnacentral:rRNA from 1 species